UCUAAAAAUAGAAAACAACAGGAAGGACCCAAGUGAUACACGCGCCAUGAGAGGAGGACUUAAAAAACAAUUUUCCCAAGUCGUUGAAGCACUGUGCAGUGACAUGGAUUAAAUCGUCACGCGAGCAAAAUAUUUAGGCCGAAUUUAAAAAUAAAAAAACUUGAUUGAAACAUGUAGCAAAAGAGGAAGGGCUAGGCGCGCAAUUUCCCCAUUAAGGAUUGAUAUGCGUGAACUCCCAAACUAAACAGUGCCAUCAUUGCCCAGCUUGAAGUUUUAAAAAAACAAAUUUUGGUCUUUCCCUUUGAAGCAGAAACUGCUUCUUUUGGGGUUUCCUAACCCUUUGGCCGCCGUUCAGCCCACGCCCCAAUUUCGUCGGAGGGGACACCAGCUCGACGACUCCGGCGAAAGGUGUACGUGCGCACAUAGGGAGGAUCGGCCCCGAGACGUGCGGCGCUUGGGACGUCUGCUGGAGGCGCGGAGGCUGCUGUGGCUAGGGCGCAUAGUGCUGCUAGGGUUUUCUUUUUUGCUUUUUAGUUUUGGGCUGAGGUCUGUAUUGUUUGUUGGUUUGGGCCUGAGUAUUAUAAUGUAAAAUGGGUAUUAGAUUGGGCCUGGGCACAUUUGGGUUUAUACAAUAUUCUUUUAAAAAAUAUGAAUGGACUUGAAUUAAUUAUCUACAAAUAUAAAUUUAUUUGGGCAAA